rnacentral:rRNA from 1 species
AGAGUUUGAUCUGGCUCAGGACGAACGCUGGCGGCGUGCUUAACACAUGCAAGUCGAACGAUGAAGCCGCUUCGGUGGUGGAUUAGUGGCGAACGGGUGAGUAACACGUGGGCAAUCUGCCUGCACUCUGGGACAAGCCCUGGAAACGGGGUCUAAUACCGGAUACGACUACGGAAGGCAUCUUCUGUGGUGGAAAGCUC